GCACAUAAAUUUUAUAUAUACUAAAUGAAAAACUAAUUAUUAUAUCAUUUAUACAAAACUAGUAUAGCCAAUAUACACACUAAAAUUAAAAAACUUAUUAUCAAAAGCAAGUGCCAUAUCACCUACAUCAUGUAUCCACAAAUAUUACAUAAGAAAGAAAAUCUCAAGCUAUAAGGUGUCGUAAUUGUUAGCUCCUUAUUAUUUUCGUCUUCAAGAAAGUCAAGGUUGAAACUUUAACUUCAUUAUGCAAGAAAAAUAUCAAAAUCCCUUCCUGCAAGAAAAAGUAUCAAAACCCAAUUUUACAAACAUGAAUAACAAAAGAUUAACCGCAAAACUUAAAUUAAGAAAAAGUUCAACAAAAUGAGAGAAAUCAAAAUAUAACAAUCACCAAAAUUGAAAUGUUCAUUGCUAGAUGAUAGAUAAAGUUAUAUUGAAACAAGAAAAAUUGCACUAUAUUGAGUUAACCAUAUCAUUACCUUUUAAAGGUGUUCUAAAUACGCACAACUUAAAUUGAAUUCUACUUGCAAAUCAAAAAACGCCCCAUGGCUUAAUUACCCUCAGAAUAACAUGGUGAAAAUUGUCACCCAAGAAGCAUAUUUAACAACUUAGAGAAAGGUUCACUAUCAACCCAAGUGAAAACUGCUUAUAUAAUCCCCUUUAAGAGUAGGAACUGCCUUAGGAAUCAUGUCCUCGCUAUAUCCACCGGUCUAAGAAUGAGACCAAAGAGCUAUAUCCACCAGUCUAAGAAUGACACCAAAGAGCUAGUUUCACAAAUCAAAAUAAGACCAUAAAGUUGGACAUCAAUAUAAUAGACAAAGUUAAAGAAAGAUAAACAACCUGAUUUCUUUAUACAAAAAUGUCUAGUUCAGUCUGAAACAACAAUUAGAGAAUGCACCUAUGUCCAAAGGAUGGCAAAUGAUUGUGGUAAUAGUAGCCGACACCAGAGCUGUUACUAGGGAUGCCUCUAUCCUCCUUUGAUACUUCUCUGGCAAAGAUUUUUUAUCCUACAUUGGUCAAAUAAAUCAAAGUUCAAGUUCGAGAGGGCAGGGGUAUUCUUAUUCCAUAAUCAAUUAAAAAAUAAAUUGCUGAUUUCUUAAGCUUACAAGUCAAAAACACAAAAGUUCACAUCAAUGGAAGGAGCUAUGCCAACAAGAGAAGGUCCAAGACCAUUGAAGAAGGAUGCAUUUCCCUCCUGCAAUGUUGGUACUCACCCUGGAAGAUGGAUGUAUAGUACAAUUAGUCAUCUCAAUAAGGAAAACCCUUCUGGAGUGUUUAUGACUACUCCUUGUCUAACUUAGCUUAAAAAGCUUAGACCAGGAGUAACACAUUGGCAUAAUUCUUGGGGAGGCAGAGGCAACGGCAACAUAAAGGUAAACAAAGAUUUUCAAACUUAAGAUUUCUCCACCAGUAUGAACUCAUUCCAUGGUGACAGUAAAAUGAACUUUUAUUACAGAUAGAAUUAGACAAAUAUAAUAAGGACAACUCAUAAUAGAAAGAUCAAAAUAAACAUGGGUAGUAUUGAUAUCCUGGGGUUUGUCAAGUUGAAGUGGUAGGUGAAAGUCCUAUAAAGAUUGGGGAGGGAGGGGAGGACUAACACUGACCCAAAUGAAUACGAAAAGGGAAGAUAAAGCACCCAAACUAACCUGUCUUAAGGAAGGAAUCUACGACCUCAGUGAAUCUUGCCCGAUUCAAUGUAUGCAAUACAACAGAUUUGACCUGGCAAAAAAACAUUAACUUAAUUGGUAAAUUUAAUCAAAUUCUUAACAAAACAGAAUAAAAUUUUAACAAUAUGAAACAUAUGAUAUUUUUUUAAUUAGUAUAAUGUUUUUUAAUACAUCAAACCUCUUGGUAAGAGCUAAAAACAUAUCCACAUGAGAGUAAAGCAAAUGUGGUAACCAAAGAUGGAUUUCUUUUUGCAAUCAAGAUGCUCAACCCAGUUCCAAACUUCACAAUAAAAAAUAAUUUACUGAAAUCAGCUUCAAUAGGAAUAUAUAUUAUGUAUAAACAUUUACAUCAUCCAACACCAACACAUAUUAUAUGUACUGUAUAAACACAACCACUUAUUUAACUUGACCACCACCAAUGUAAAAAAAUUAAACAGCCAAGCAUUUGGGUCAGUGUAUGGGUCAGCCAAGCAUACAGCUAAGGUUUUGUUAUUAAACUUGUUUUCCCUUGAUCAAGCAUUUUAGCUGUAUGGUGUUAUCCCUUUAUUAGUAGCCAGAGAAAAAUGAAGUUCAUGCAAUAACAACACAUCAACAUAUUUUAUAUUUCUCUACUACAUUUAUUCUCGUAUCUUAAUAGAACAAGCACAAAAGAAUCAAUGAUACCAAUCGGCGUAAUAGUAACUCAGAUUACAGCAAGACCAACUCAUUAUCUAACUAUGACCAAGAUAUUUUAGCAGACCAGUCUUACGAGUCAACAAGUUUGAUCCAUUUUAACUUAUCAAGGUUUUUUUUUUAAUUGAUAGCAACAUAAAGUAAAUGGGGCUGUCAGCACAAAUUUCUAGAAUACCAGAUCUCCAAUGUUUUCUCCUCUAGCAAAUGCUUUGUAUAUUGGCGUACGAGUUGAUGUUGUUGUCACUGCAGCGCCAUUCUACAAGAAAAUGGAGCAUAAUGUAAAACUACGGUGCCAAUCCCCACCAACUAGUUAUAUCAAGCUAAAUACCGAUGGUUUUUAAAUCAAAUCAGAUCACAUCCUUAAAUAAAGGAGCAGCCGAUAUGUUAUGGAAUUUAGAGGGUAAUUGGUUGGAUGCUUCUUCGCGGAAUCUUCUAGGGGUUUCUUCUGUGACGGGAGAGUUUUGGGUUAUGCUUGAUGGUCUCACCAUGGCAUGGAACCUUAAUUGUAGAGAUAUUAUUUUAGAAACGGAUGCAUCUUGAGUGGCUAAUUGUCUUUCAGAGUCUUCCUGUGUUAGCAUUCCAUUGUUGCAUUUGAUUGAAAAUUGUAGGAAACUUCUGAAAAGAGACUGGAGGGUGCAAGUUCAUCAUGUGUUCAGGGAAGGGAAAAAAGUUGUUGAUGUUCUUGCAAAGGCAAGUGCUAAUUAGGAGCCUACUUUUGUUAUAUUUUAUUUUCCUCUUUUUUGUUAAGCCUCUUUUGUCAGAUAACAUGCUGAGUAGGGGUACUCCCCAUUGUGUAAACCAAACUGUUAAGGCCUUUUGUUUCUUGCCUAGAUGUUGUUUUGAUGAUGUUUUAAUAUAAUGCAGUUGUCUUUUAAAAAAACAUAUAAAAGGAAAUCUUAUUUCUCUUUAAAUUUAAAUUUAAAACAAAAAUAGCAAACUUUAUCAAGUUCCACGAAAAUGAAAAAGUGAAAGUCACAGUUUUUUUCUAUUUAUCUGAUAGUAAACUUUAUCAAGAAACAUGAAAAGGAGAAAGUGAAUGUCACAAAUUUCUCUCUAUUUCUCCAAAUGCAUACAUUAAAAAGAAAUAAUAUAUUCUUCUUUGUAGUCGAGCAAAAAAAUAUUUUGAUUUAAUCAUAUAAGAUAUCAAUAAUUUGUUGGACAUAUAAUAAAAUUCCUAGAGUGAUGAACUAGGCAACGAGAGAGGUUUCAACUGUUUCAAGGUUUGAGCUCAAAGUAGUCAAAAGACAAUUAGACUCAUUAAAAUGCACAUGCUAGCAAAUGACUUGAAAUUGGGAAAAGACCAUACCAAGGAACAGAAUUGAAUAUAAGUGUGUUAAGGUUGAGUUGCUCAGACAAUUCAUUCCCAUUAAUGGGUAGUGCAGGUGGGUAAUGGUCCUAGGAAUCUGCUGGUGCACAUGUGCCUUUCCUAUGCUGCUAUGCUAGUAUUAAAGAUGUUAUAAUGGUCCUAGGUAUAUGAUAACACACUGUUACCCUGGACAUGCCUUGAUGAACUCGAAAUAAAAAAGUACAUACUACAAAGCUAAUGUCACUAAUUUGCGUUAUAUAUCUUCUAAUCAGCCCUUUGCUUGCCAAUUCCAAAGGUUCAAUUCCUAUUCGACUCAUUAAGCUCUUUAAAGUUGAUAGCUAAAUCAUGAAAGGGACAUACUCUUAUAGCUUAAUUAUCUAGCUCCUUUAUUUGUAGCAGUAGCUUAAUUAUCUAGCUCCUUUACUUGUUUAGCCUUCGAUAUACUCGUAUCACUGACAUUGUAGGAGUAUUAUACCCUAUACUUACUAUUUAGUUUUUACAUCCAUGGGAAAAUAUAAUAGAAUAAUCAUAUAUAAUCUCUUUGUUUUUGAGUUGGAAAGCAUGAGUCAAAGUGGUUCUAGCUUUUAUUACUAGCUGGUUGCUUUCUACUACUGCUUAUUAUAGUUGAUGCUCUUUUUUUUUUUCUUUUUUUUCCAGCAGAAUAUUUAUUUGAUUUUCGGGGCUUUUGUUUUUCCUCUAGCAUUGUUUUCCUGGGAUAUAUAUAUAUAUAUAUGUCCGUUGUAAAUAAUUUAAGAUAAUUUCAUACUUUCUUGUUUAGUGAGGUGACUUGCCAUUCUGCUAAAAAUAUUAUGCAGCCCCUUGACCAACUUUGGAAUUAAAAUCUUUCAAUACCUAAAGAUCAAAACUUGCGCCGUGUAGAACAUAAUCCCAUCAACAAAAGAACCUCUACUCUUUGCCAAAUCAAUCUGUGCCUACAAUAUCAAAAUCCUCUUUGUGUUGUUUAAGUUGGUUAGCAAUUAAAUUCUUGGUGGGGAUCAUGGAUUAUUUGUAUGGUUAAGAACCCAACUCAAAAAUAGGCCAACCCCACCACAAUUCCCACAUUCAUCAACUACUAUCACCAAAAACAUUUAAACAAAGAAAUACAAUAAAAUUAACUUCUAAAUAAUGGAAUACCACCAAAAAUGGAAAACAUAUAAUAGAAAUUCAAGCUUCAACGGAAGAUCAACACAUGAUGACUUUAGUAUAAAAACAGCUAUUUUUUUUCAGGCUUCUAGAAGCCUAGUUGUUCAUCUGAUUGUUCCCCCUCAACAGAUAUAAUAAUAUGAAAUAUGGCAUGCGAAAUAAUAAUAACCAACAAGGAAUAGGUAAUAACAUAAUUGGAAAGCAGGGACAACCUCCAGUAACAAAAACCUAUCAUUUGAGCACUCAAUAAAAUGAAAAGAAAAGCUAGCAGGUAAGAUAAAUCAAACUAAACAUUCCCAAGAGUGCUCUUGCUUCAUCAAAUGGUGGUAAUGUGGAAAUUCCCAAACUGGUCUUUCAAAUCACAGUGGGAUAUACCUAAAUAACUUGAAUCAUUGCGAAACUUAUAUAUAUGUACUCUCUUGUCCUGAACAUUAGCUAAUUUUCAUAUUUUAUCAUAAAAAUCUCUUUAAGACAUUUUAUCAAACAUGUUAUGUGCAUGACUUACAUUCCCAGAUUUCAUAAGCUUUUAAAUAUGGUUCUAACCAAAAGUUUCAUCCUUACUAACCUGUAUAACACUUAAUUCAUAAUAUCCCAACCAAGCACAACAAUUUCAAAACAAUAAUCAUUAUGUAUGCUUUCAAUUUUCUAUGAACUUAACCAAAUUCAUGGCCUACCUCUUUAUUCUGCUGAAAUUUAAGCUCAGUGAUAAUGAUUCAGUCCAUUCUUUACGCCAAUUAUAGCUUCCCACUCACUUGUAAUUCCAGAUUCUUUACACAACCUCUUCUCUUAACCGAACCAAGCAAUUUUUAAAAAUUUAUGGCUUAGCUUUGGUUCGUAUGGAGUAAUUCUUUACACAACCUCUUCUCUUCCCUCGCUAAUUCGUUUUGCUUAGCAACCGUUGAUUCGAUUUAGAGUGACUGUCUACUUAGGGUGUGAUUCGGCUAAGAAGAUUUGGGUUUUGGCAAUUUAGAGUAGCUGGUGAGAGAGAUUAGAGGAUUUAGGUUUUUAGGUGGGGAGACAUGAGAUUGAAAGGGUUAGAGAGCAUAGAGAGGACUAGUAAGGACUUAGCUAGUGAGGAACACGAAACUUAAAAAAUGUUAUUAAAAGUAAAUUUACUAUUGGAAAAAAAUUAAUCUAUUUAUAUAUAUUACAAUUUAUAUUUAAUAUAAUUAUUUUUAAAAAAUUUAUUUUAAUAAAAUAGUGACUAAUUUUAUCUCUCACAAAUAAUAUAUAGCGAGUAAUAUUUUUUUCAUUAAUAAUAUUUUUCUUUGCAAAUUUUCAUCAAAAAUUGGCGCUAAACAUCCUUCUAUCAUCUCAAUUUUGUGAAAGAAAAAAUCUAAAUUGUGAAGGAUGUUUCCUUCAGAAUAACUAUAUUGUCACUAAUUUUUUUUCCUUCAUUGCUCCCUCGUUAGAAAACUCCUCAUGCGAAUGAAUGAAUUCCUUCACAAAUUUUCCUUCACUACAUCCCUGGUUUCUUGUAGUGUGAAUUUGACAGGAGUUUAAUGGGGGAGCCAAACUACUUCUUGGGGCUACAAAUUAAACAAUCUGAGAAAGGAAUGCAUAUCCACCAAAAAAAUUACAUUAAGCAGCUAUUGUUUGUUUAUGAAUACCUCACAUUUUUAGUUUAUAACCCUCUUGUAAUUUAAUACAUGGGUAUUCCAUACUUUUUAUACACAACUUAGUUAUUCAAGGUGAAUUCGUAGCUCAUGUUGUACUUUUGAGUGUAAUGAUAACUUGUAUAGGUAACUUAUAGCUAUCGUAAUAAUUUAUAGUUUCAUUUCCGGGCACUAUUAGAAACCAUCGCGUUUCUUUGGAAUGCCAAAACAGUCCCUUCAAGCAUUUACAGCCCUUUGGCUUAGACGCCCAUCUCUAAUAACUUUUACCUUUUUAAAGCACCACUUUAAUCCUAUUGAAUUGUAAUUACUUUAUAACUCAUGUACUUGUUUCUUUAAAAAUUUAGAAACUAAACUUUUUGGGUACAUUAUCGAACUAAACCACGAAGCCACAACUGGCCCAAACCAACUGCUUCCCACUUUUGCGGUUGUUACUCGCUGCUGCCGCUGAGCAGCAGCUCCUCACCUAUGAUAGAAAGAUACUAGUUAAGCAAUUAGAGAAAUUUAACCUUGUCGACUAAGAGCUCAAAAGGACCCCCCAAGCGCUGCCCAGCAGCGUUCUGCUGCUGCCUGCUACUGCUGCAGCGCAGCAGUUCUCUCCUCGCCAUAGCUACUUUGAACAAUUUUAAUUCCUAGCUCCUAACUCGAAUCACGUCCAUUUUUACAUAUGAUAAACAUGACAUAUAGGACUAUUUAAAAAAAAAUAUUAGACGUUCAUUCUGAAUGUUACAAGCAACCCAAAACAGUGCUCAAAUAUAGCUUGACACACUAACUUUUGAUUUUUUGUUUUAGCUUAAAAUUGCAUUUCGCUCUAAGUUACUUUGCCCAAACCAUUUAAUCAUCUACAUAUAGUGUACAUAUACAUUACCUUAGCCUCGGAUUUGCUUAAUAUUUGGUUUUUAACAAAAACAGUCCAUAUAGGACUUUUAGCGAACAUCUUAUAUGUGCUGUUUUGAAAUGCAAAUUUCAUAAUCAUUCUUUUGUUUUCCAAACCCAUUUUAGCCUCCUUAUAACUCUGCACAACCAACCUAUAUCCCUUAGUUCUAAUUCAAGUCCAUAACAUUCAAUUGUACAGUUAAAACAAUUAUACACUUAGUACAUAAACUAACAAGUUUACUACUUUCCUUAUUUCCUUUCAAAGUUCCUCUUACAGUUGAUUCCCACAUAAUUAUAAUAUACCAAUUUCUAGUGUUAGGUAUACAUAGCAUCUAGUGAUAACUCUGUUUUACACAACCAAUUUUUAACAAUUUCACACAAAUUACUAAUUUUUCAAUGUAAACCAAAGAAAAGGAACUUACUUUUUAUUGUUUGCUUGAAUUGGUUGAUAGCUACUCCAAUUUAGUUGAUCAAGUAUUCCUUUACUACUAUUUCGCCCAAUUCGUCUUUCAACUGAAGCACAAACUUGAAUUACUUAGUGAUUAAUCUAAGUUUGGUGGGGGUCUUAGAAACUCGGUGUAGGAAUAGAAGAGAAUUGGGGCUUUAGCUUGAGAUCAUUUAUAUGCUUAGGAGCUUUUGUAUGCUGACAAGAGUUUUUUUUUAGAAACUUUUAAGGCUUUUAAAAUCAGUAGACUUAUUAGCCUCAUAGCUUUGCCUCGUGUCUUCUUAUUAGCUUAAAUAUUUAACAGCUCAUGCUUGGAUACAUGAAUCAACACAAG
rnacentral:lncRNA from 1 species